rnacentral:rRNA from 1 species
UACGGAGGGUGCAAACGUUGCUCGGAAUCAUUGGGCGUAAAGCGCCCGUAGGCGGUCCGUUGUGUCGGGUGGGAAAGCCCUCGGCUUAACCGAGGAAGUGCAUUCGAAACUGGCGGACUUGAGUACCGGGGAGGGUCGCGGAAUUCCCGGUGUAGAGGUGAAAUUCGUAGAUAUCGGGAGGAACACCAGUGGCGAAGGCGGCGACCUGGACGGAUACUGACGCUGAGGUGCGAAAGCGUGGGGAGCAAACAGG